UCGACCUGAGCUCAGGCAAGAUUACCCGCUGAACUUAAGCAUAUCAAUAAGCGGAGGAAAAGAAACUAACAAGGAUUCCCCUAGUAACGGCGAGCGAACCGGGAAUAGCCCAACUUGGAAAUCUCCCUCGGAGAAUUGUAGUCUAUAGAAGCGCCCUCUGCAGCGACCGGGUCCCAAGUCCCCUGGAAGGGGSCGUCGUAGAGGGUGAGAACCCCGUCGGACCUUGGUGCGGCUGCCUCACGAGGUGCUUUCGAAGAGUCGGGUUGUUUGGGAAUGCAGCCCAAAGCUGGUGGUAAAUCCCAUCUAAGGCUAAAUAUUGGCGAGAGACCGAUAGCGAACAAGUACCGCGAGGGAAAGAUGAAAAGAACUUUGAAAAGAGAGUUAAAAAGUGCUUGAAAUUGUUGAGGGGGAAGCGAUUGGCAGCUGCGUGUGCACCCAGGCUUACGCCGUUCUAACGAUCGGCUGCAUGCGCUGGGUGUUGGUCAGCAUGGGUUGGCUUGGCAGGAUAAACGCGGGGGUUGUUACUCCGUCUAUGCUGCCGGGCCGACCGAGGCGUGAAGGCCGCUCUUGUCCCUCGGGAUCUGCGGCCUCGAGAUGCUGGCGGAAGGCUUUCAAUCGGCCCGUCUUGAAACACGGACCAAGGAGUCUAACAUGUAUGCGAGCUGGUGGGUGGUAAACCCAUGAGGCGCAAGUAACCUGACUUUGGUGGGAUGGCCGCAAGGCCUGCACCAUCGACCGACCGUGAUCUUCUGUGAAAGGUUCGAGUACGAGCAUACCUGUUGGGACCCGAAAGAUGGUGAACUAUGCCUGAGCAGGGCGAAGCCAGAGGAAACUCUGGUGGAGGCUCGUAGAUGUGCUGACGUGCAAAUCGCUUUUCGGACUUGGGUAUAGGGGCGAAAGACUAAUCGAACCAUCUAGUAGCUGGUUCCCUCCGAAGUUUCCCCCAGGAUAGCUGGAGCUUGUGUGUCAGUUUUAUCGGGUAAAGCUAAUGAUUAGAGGUUCGGGGGAUGAAACAUCUUCCACCUAUUCUCAAACUUUAAAUAGGUAAGACGUGUGAGUUGCUUAACUGAACUCACGCAUUCAAUGAGAGCUCCAAGUGGGCCAUUUUUGGUAAGCAGAACUGGCGAUGCGGGAUGAACCGAUAGUUGGGUUAAGGUGCCGGACUACGCGCUAACCUAGAUCCCACAAAGGGUGUUGAUUGAUACAGACAGCAGGACGGUGGUCAUGGAAGUCGAAAUCCGCUAAGGAGUGUGUAACAACUCACCUGCCGAAUCAAUUAGCCCCGAAAAUGGAUGGCGCUGAAGCGCGUGACCUAUACCCGGCCAUGGGGGCAAGUSCGAGGCUCCCAUGAGUAGGAGGSCGUGGGUGUCGCUGCGCAGCCUGGGGCGUGAGCCCGGGUSAAGCGGNACCUAGUGCA
rnacentral:rRNA from 1 species